GCUGUUGGAAUGACAAGGACGUCCCCGGGGCCAAACGAAAACAACCCCACCCCCUGCGGCGCCACCCGGCUGGGAGCGGAGAGAGACUGACGGCGGAGGCGGGGGUCAGGGCGCGGACCCGGACCCCAGCCCCAUGGGGGACAGAGUCCAAAAAAACCGGCCGGGUGGAGGAUGCAGCCGGGCGUGGUGGCUACAAGGAAGUGCCCUGGUGUUAAGAACUCAGCCUCUGAAACCCGCCGCCCAGCUUCGAGUCAGCGACGUACUUUUGUUGUCCCGGCCUUAGUAUCCCCGCUGCAAUAAGAGUGUAAGCUCCUAAAGGCAGAAAUCAAGCUGACCUAAGCAAAGACCUGAAGGAGCUAUGAGGACAUCUGGCAGAAGAGGCAAGAGGCUGGCCAGCGGCUAUAAACAAGUUAAGGGACUCCUCUGAGCCUCAACAUCCCAUCCCUGGAAUGGAGAGAAGGACGUCUGCCCUGCUUAUCUCAAAAGGACAUCGAUGAGAUCAUAGAAGCCCAAGCUGAGGUUACAUCUGAUGCUAAAAACUAGACGAGAAAGGGUCUGUCUGACCCUCAAGGUCAGCAAUGUGUGUGCAACUCCCCUCUCGGGGUCUGGGGACGCAGCCAUGUGUUCCAUCGCACACCAGGCUUUGGGGAUAUUGUAGGGCUCAGACCGCCGACUGCUAGUUUAUUAAAAGAGCAGCUGCCAUCCCGCCGCGCAGUGGGACAGAGAGCUGCAGCCCGGCGCAGGCUCGACCCCGCAGGGAACCGCGACCCGGGGAUAGGCAGCUCUGGACUGCACUGAUCUGGGACUCUGUCGGCUCUACAGACACACACACGCGCGCGCACACACACACACAUGCACACACGCACGCACACACACACGCACGCACAGCCGCUAGGCCUAGAGUUUAUUUUUCCAGGGGCUGGUGGGGACUCCGCUCCCGCGGCGGGCGGCGGCACUGGAAUGUUAAUUGAAACGGAGCUGGCGAGCGCGGCGCAGAUAAGCGUCGCCCAGCAGCGUCCCCGCCUGCGGCUCCCCGAAUCAGCGAUCCGGGAAGGCCCCGCCGCCUCUCUGGCCGCUGAGGGUUUUCUUUUCCACGCUGAAGGAGUGGAACGCGCGCGGAGGCAGCUCGGCGCCCGCAAACCCCCGGAGUCAGCCCCCGACGGUCUGUCCCAGAACUAAACGGUCUCCGCCACCCAAAGCCGAGAAGCUAAGAGGCCGGCUGGGGGAGGGUGACACGGAGAAAUGGAGAAGCCCACCCAGCGGUUACAUACCGGCAGAUUUUUAUUUCCUUUAACUGGUUGGUUCUUCUAAACAUUUAAUGCAAGAAAUCUCUCGGCCCGCUUCACUUUACUCUCCACCCAUGCUCUUCCCCUAACCCUGAGAAUUUUGCACAGAUUUUCGGGGUUCGCGCGGAGCGCCUCUGAAAGUGAUGGCGGACAAACCGUCAAAAAGGCCUCAGCAUAGCAAUUUAGGAAAAGAUCGUAUCAGAUCCUUAAUUCACACCAUACACUCUAAUACACUCGAAAGUAAGCAAAGAAAUUAUAACAAAUACCAGAAUAAAAUAUGGGUGAAUUCCUUUUUAACCUCAGUGUAGGAAAAGAAAGGUCUUCUCACCAUGACUCAAAUCAAGAAGCAAGUAAACAUAACACAAAUGAUUACAUUUUAUAAAAUGCAUGGUAAGAAAUCACUAUAAAAGAAGUCAAAAGACAAUUGUCAAACAGGAAGAAAAUAUUUGCAACAUAUAGCACACAUAACCAAAGUAACUGAUAUUGAGAAAACUUAAAAAUUGAAAUUGGGAGAUGGAUACAAUUUGCGUUUGUGUAUGUAUGUGUAUAUAUUUAUGUGUUUUUAAUUGUUAUGUAUAUUAUACAUGUAUAUGUAUAGAUACAUACACAUAUGUAUAUAUCCCUUAAACAUAUAAAAGGAUGUUGCACCUCACUUGUAAUUAGAGAAAUGCAAAUUAAAAACAACACUGAGAUACUGUUUCUCACCUAUCAAAUUUGUAAGAAUUAAGAGGCAUGAUCAUGCAUUCCGUUGCCCGGGCUAGCUGGGAAGCAGGCACUCCCAUACAGUACUGGUGGAAUGCAAACCUGUAGAACCUUUCUGGAGAGGAGAACUCCUAAAAAUACUAUAUGUGCAUUUAUGUUUCACCUAUGGUCCCAUUUCUUAGAAAUUUGUCUUUCGACAAAUUCAAUUGACAAUUGUCUUUUGACUCUGAAGACAUGCCUCCAACAAUAUAAAAACACAUACAAACUUAUUAUUGUAAAGUACUGGAAAACUCUAAAUACUCAUUCACAGAACAGUGGUUGAAUAAACUUUGGUACAUUCGUGCAAUGGAGUACUAGGCAACUAUAGAAAACAAUAAGGAAGACCUCUUUGGACCAAUAUGAUGUGACUGCUGAAUAUAUUGUUAAGUGAAAAAAAGGUAACGGCAAAAGAGUAUCUUCAAGAAUCAAUGAGAGCUGGGAACAGCUCAUGUUCUGGGGAGGAGGCUGUGCCGGCCAUGGGGCUUUGGGUGUGUGAUUGACUGCAGGUGUGCUUGCCUUGUGGCAGCAGAAAAAGGAUGCACCAGUGAUCAACCCGUCUCUUAAAUAUGGUAAUCAGAUCAACAUCAUAGAUUUUAAUGAUAAAAGUAUCAUUAUAAAUGAAAACGUUAUCCAUCAAGUGGAUGAAAUUAGGCACAUUAAUGCCAGUCCGGCAGACAAAGGUGAGCUGGUGACAUUCUACAAUAAAAGUUAUUGUGUCUUCUCCUGA
rnacentral:lncRNA from 1 species